CAGCACCUCAAGUGGUCAGGAUGAUUAUUGGGCCUAAAGCAUCCGUAGCCGGCGCUGUAAGUUUUCGGUUAAAUCUGUACGCUCAACGUACAGGCUGCCGGGAAUACUGCAAAGCUAGGGAGUGGGAGAGGUAGACGGUACUCGGUAGGAAGGGGUAAAAUCCUUUGAUCUAUUGAUGACCACCUAUGGCGAAGGCGGUCUACCAGAACACGUCCGACGGUGAGGGAUGAAAGCUGGGGGAGCAAACCGGAUUAGAUACCCGAGUAGUCC
rnacentral:rRNA from 1 species